UACAGAGGUCUCAAGCGUUGUUCGGAUUCAUUGGGCGUAAAGGGUGCGUAGGCGGCGCGGCAAGUCGGGUGUGAAAUCUCGGGGCUUAACUCCGAAACUGCAUUCGAUACUGCCGUGCUUGAGGACUGGAGAGGAGACUGGAAUUCCUAGUGUAGAGGUGAAAUUCGUAGAUAUUAGGAAGAACACCAGUGGCGAAGGCGGCUCACUGGCCCGAUACUGACGCUGAGGCACGAAAGCGUGGGGAGCAAACAGG
rnacentral:rRNA from 1 species